rnacentral:rRNA from 1 species
UACGGGGGGGAGCAAGCGUUGUUCGGAUUUACUGGGCGUAAAGGGCGCGUAGGCGGUCAGCACAAGUCAGUUGUGAAAUCUCCGGGCUUAACCCGGAAAGGUCAACCGAUACUGCGGGGCUAGAGUGCAGAAGGGGCAAUGGAAUUCCCGGUGUAGUGGUGGGAAUGCGUAGAUAUCGGGAGGAACACCAGUGGCGAAGGCGGUUGCCUGGGGCUUUGCUGACGCUGAGGCGCGAA